GGGUAUAUGGCUCAGUGAUAGAGUGUAUGCUUGGCAUGCACGAGGUCCUGGGUUCAAUCCCCAGCACCUCCA
rfam:Camelus ferus unplaced genomic scaffold scaffold598, whole genome shotgun sequence.